AAAGGUAGACAUAUUGUGUGUGCAAGAGACCAAGUGGAAGGAAAAUAAGAGCGGGAGCAUCAGCGGUGGAUACAAGUUGUUGUACCAUGUUGAGGAAAGGAAGAGAAAUGGUGUUGGGGUCAUUUUAAAGGAAGACUAUGUUAAAAGUGUGU